AACGAACGCUGGCGGCAUGCCUAACACAUGCAAGUCGAACGCUCGUAGCAAUACGAGAGUGGCGGACGGGUGAGAAACGCGUGGGUACCUGCCCUGUAGUACGGAAUAACCGCGGGAAACUGCGGCUAAUACCGUAUACGCCCCAAGGGGGAAAGAUUUAUCGCUACAGGAGGGGCCCGCGUCGGAUUAGCUAGUUGGUGAGGUAACGGCCCACCAAGGCGAUGAUCCGUAGCUGGUCUGGGAGGACGACCAGCCACACUGGGACUGAGACACGGCCCAGACUCCUACGGGAGGCAGCAGUGGGGAAUAUUGGACAAUGGGGGAAACCCUGAUCCAGCAAUGCCGCGUGAGUGAAGAAGGCCUUAGGGUUGUAAAGCUCUUUCAGCGGGGAAGAUGAUGACGGUACCCGCAGAAGAAGCCCCGGCUAACUCCGUGCCAGCAGCCGCGGUAAUAC
rnacentral:rRNA from 1 species